UAUUUUAGACUAACCAGAACACUAAAGUUUCACUAAAAUUAAUUUGUGUAAUAAAUGCAGGUAGGUGUGCACUAAUAUAUUUUCAUGUUAUGUUUUUUCAUACAACAAUGUUGUUUAUUCAUUUUUUCUUUAUUUAGUCACAAAAAAAAAUGAAUAACAAAUGAAUAAUUAGUAUAAACAACAUUUAAAAUAUUUUCUAUUAAUAUGCAUAUACUCAAUACAUUUGUCAUGUUUUUUUUUUUUUAGUUCUUGAAUGUCCAAGAGUCUAUUUGGACUUGGAGGAAAAUUAUAAUUCUGAUGAGUUAUGAAAGAUGUUAACUAAUUUAGAGGUAUUUAUAUAAAUUAUAUUAUAAUAUAGAAACUAUAGUUUUGUAUCAUAGUAAACCCAUCUAUGUUUUGUAUUUAGUUAUCAGGUUCUAGCAUCAAUAUAUAUUUUUGAAUAAGUACUAUAUACAAAUUAUGGAUGAAUUAUGUCAUCCUGAUACAAAUUGAAGGCCUACAAAAAAAAAACAAUAAUAGUCAAUAUUCCCAAGAUAAUCAAUAUUACAAUUUAUAAUUUUCAAAACUCAAAUAGAUUAGGAGAUAAUGUUUAUUAUAAUUAUCUAAUAUAUAUAUAUAUAGAAUAUAUUUAUUAAUAUAUAACUUCCUUCAGACAACUUUGAAUAAAAAAAAAAUUAAACUGACCAAAAUGUUAAAAGAUAAAUAAAGGAUAAUUUAUGGUAAUAAUUUUCCCGGAAUUUUUUAAUUCGAUUUGUUAAAAGUUUGAGGAAGAUUUAAAUGGUUGAACAAAACGUAUACAUCAAUUGCGCUAAAUGAUAAUUUUUGCAUAACAAAAAUAAAAAUUGUAUGCUGUUGAAUGUUUUUGAAUGUCGUUGAAACUUGCAUGGUUAGUUUUUAAUUUUCAAAAAAAGUACAUUGAAAAAUAAGCAAUGUAAUAAAAAUAAGAUAACUGCUUAGAUAUUAUAUAGAAUUUUAUUUAUUUUUUGUAUCUUUGAUUUUAAAUAUUUUUUUCUUUCUCGGCAAUAUUUAUUCUCAUGUAUGAUAUAAGUUAUGAUAUAAAACAUUUACAUGGACAAAAUAUAGAACAAAAAUAUUUCCCAAAUGCUGAGUGAAAUGAUUCGGAGGUAUUUGUAGUUCUUUCACCUGAUAUUACAUGAUGGCCAAAGAUAGUGAAAAAGUUUUAUAUUCAGCAAUUUAUAUAUCAACCAGAUAAUCACAAAAUAUACUAAUUCGGUUUUUUUUGUAUAAGUAUUUAGAAAUCGAUCGGCGAAA